rnacentral:rRNA from 1 species
GUGCUAAUACAUGCAAGUCGAGCGAACGGACGAGAAGCUUGCUUCUCUGAUGUUAGCGGCGGACGGGUGAGUAACACGUGGAUAACCUACCUAUAAGACUGGGAUAACUUCGGGAAACCGGAGCUAAUACCGGAUAAUAUUUUGAACCGCAUGGUUCAAAAGUGAAAGACGGUCUUGCUGUCACUUAUAGAUGGAUCCGCGCUGCAUUAGCUAGUUGGUAAGGUAACGGCUUACCAAGGCAACGAUGCAUAGCCGACCUGAGAGGGUGAUCGGCCACACUGGAACUGAGACACGGUCCAGACUCCUACGGGAGGCAGCAGUAGGGAAUCUUCCGCAAUGGGCGAAAGCCUGACGGAGCAACGCCGCGUGAGUGAUGAAGGUCUUCGGAUCGUAAAACUCUGUUAUUAGGGAAGAACAUAUGUGUAAGUAACUGUGCACAUCUUGACGGUACCUAAUCAGAAAGCCACGGCUAACUACGUGCCAGCAGCCGCGGUAAUACGUAGGUGGCAAGCGUUAUCCGGAAUUAUUGGGCGUAAAGCGCGCGUAGGCGGUUUUUUAAGUCUGAUGUGAAAGCCCACGGCUCAACCGUGGAGGGUCAUUGGAAACUGGAAAACUUGAGUGCAGAAGAGGAAAGUGGAAUUCCAUGUGUAGCGGUGAAAUGCGCAGAGAUAUGGAGGAACACCAGUGGCGAAGGCGACUUUCUGGUCUGUAACUGACGCUGAUGUGCGAAAGCGUGGGGAUCAAACAGGAUUAGAUACCCUGGUAGUCCACGCCGUAAACGAUGAGUGCUAAGUGUUAGGGGGUUUCCGCCCCUUAGUGCUGCAGCUAACGCAUUAAGCACUCCGCCUGGGGAGUACGACCGCAAGGUUGAAACUCAAAGGAAUUGACGGGGACCCGCACAAGCGGUGGAGCAUGUGGUUUAAUUCGAAGCAACGCGAAGAACCUUACCAAAUCUUGACAUCCUUUGACAACUCUAGAGAUAGAGCCUUCCCCUUCGGGGGACAAAGUGACAGGUGGUGCAUGGUUGUCGUCAGCUCGUGUCGUGAGAUGUUGGGUUAAGUCCCGCAACGAGCGCAACCCUUAAGCUUAGUUGCCAUCAUUAAGUUGGGCACUCUAAGUUGACUGCCGGUGACAAACCGGAGGAAGGUGGGGAUGACGUCAAAUCAUCAUGCCCCUUAUGAUUUGGGCUACACACGUGCUACAAUGGACAAUACAAAGGGCAGCGAAACCGCGAGGUCAAGCAAAUCCCAUAAAGUUGUUCUCAGUUCGGAUUGUAGUCUGCAACUCGACUACAUGAAGCUGGAAUCGCUAGUAAUCGUAGAUCAGCAUGCUACGGUGAAUACGUUCCCGGGUCUUGUACACACCGCCCGUCACACCACGAGAGUUUGUAACACCCGAAGCCGGUGGAGUAACCUUUUAGGAGCUAGCCGUCGAAGGUGGACAAAAGGG